GUCCACGCCCUAAACGGUGGGUACUAGGUGUAGGGCUCGCAAGGGUUCUGUGCCGAAGGGAAACCAUUAAGUACCCCGCCUGGGAAGUACGGCCGCAAGGUUGAAACUCAAAGGAAUUGACGGGGGCCCGCACAAGCGGUGGAGCAUGUGGUUUAAUUCGACGCAACGCGAAGAACCUUACCUGGGUUUGACAUGUUAGUGGUAGGAAACUGAAAAGGGACCGACCUGUAGCAAUACAGGAGCUAAUACAGGUGCUGCAUGGCUGUCGU
rnacentral:rRNA from 1 species